GCUGCCCAUUUGAGGUUCAGUGGUGCGCAUGAAUAUUGCUAAGGGAGCAUGGGACGUGAAAUGCUUUGCUUGGUGUCCUUAAGGUGGACGUGAGGCUUGCAUGGCAUGGUGUACGUGAGAUGUGUCCUCUUGCAUGGGAAGUGAGUGGACCACGUGGGGUUUGCAUGGUGAUUUGCAUGGUUCACGUGAAAGUGCCACUUUACAUGGGGCACCAAUGUGGCGCACUAAAGGGGAAUUAGUGGACCACAUGAGAAGUGGAUUUGUGCAUGGGACAUGUAGCGCACUAAAUGGCAUGAGGGCAUUAGUGGAGAUGCAUGUGAAGACAUGGGCAUGGCAUGGCAUGGACUAGUGGAGUACAUGUGGCGUGAAGCCAAGUGAGGCGCACUAAAGUGGUGUCCAUGUCCACUUACGUGAAGGAUUGCCUCUUUGCAUGUGAAGUUGUGAGUGGGAAUUCACAUGCAUGUGCAUGUUGCAUGGGCAUGGCUACGUGAGGACUUAUCACUUUGCAUGGCAUGGUUCACGUUGGAAUUGGGGUUGUGCUUGGCAUGGCUUGGCAUUUGCAUGGAAUUGGUGUAGUGGAAUUUACCACGUGGUGGCCAAAGUGGCCAAAUGUGAUUGUGCAUGUGACAAGCACAAUUGGGCGCACAUGGUGAAGACCAUCACAUGUGAAGGCAUUAGUGGAGCCAUGGCCACUUGAAUAGGGAUUAGUGGCGCACCAUGGUGAAGCAACACAUGGGAGUAGGACAUGUGGCGCAUUGAAGUAAAGAGUUGGGACCAUUUCCGUGCAUGGAAAAUUGCAUGGCCGAGAGAACCCAAAGUGGAACCAACAUGCAUGGGGCUGCAUGGAGAGACUUCACGUGGUGCUUGACAUUUGUGAAUGCAACAUGAAGGCCAAGUGCAGCGCAACAUAUGGAGACACCUUGCAAAGUGGGGCGUAUGAGAAUUGGACGUGGGAAUUGAGUGGGUGCAAAGUGGAGCGGUAGGUUGGUGGACAACCAAAGGCUACGUGCAUGGAAGGCCCAAGACCAUGCACGUGAAGAGAGAGAGCAGCCCAUGUGGGCGUAAGCAAGUGGCCAGCCCACUUUCCAAUUGGGACAAAUGCAUGGCGCCAACUUUUCCCUCCCAUUGCCCACUUGACAUGUCAUGGCAGGUUGAGGUGUCAACACUUGCCGGUUCCUCUUGUCCUUCCCCUAUGUAUUUUAUUCAUGUUUUAAUUAUGGCCACACGAGGACCAUCAUGGGAGCAGCCGGCCAAAUUGUUUGUAAUAUAAGGGAUUUGUUUCCCUUUGUUCAUAGAUAGAGAAUUUGUGAGUGAGUGAGUUUGCGGGAGCAACUUUGUGAGAGAGCUUGAGAGAGCUUGUUUUCCUUUCAUGGCAAAUGUAUAGCUUGUUGUAAAGGAAUAAAAGAAGUAGACCCCUACUUCGUUACUCUUGCUUUUCUACCUUUCUUUAUGCUUGCCGAAUGUAUGGUUGUUUAUUAUGCAUGGUUGUGAUUGUUGCUUGAUAAUGCGCAUGGUGUUCAUUGUGGGUUGCCUUGGGUGAUGCUUGGUCCAUUGUUGCGCAUUGGUGAUUGUGGGAUAUUGCCUUGCGUGGUGUUGAUGUUUGCUGCCUUGCGUGGAACUCUUAUACAUGAGGUUAGUGGCUUGUUUGUUUACCUUGCGUGGAUGUUGGUGUAGCUUGCCGUGUGGUGAGGUGGAUAGCAUGGUUGCUUGAGUUGGAUGCGGUUAUUGACUCAUUGGGAGAUUGGGUGUUGUUGCCGUGACUCUUGCUUACUACUCUUCAUCAAGGUUAGUUACUAGCUACUUGUCUUGUAUUGCCUUGCGUGGGAAUCCAUUUAUUGGGUGAUUGAGGCGCAGUGUAUUGUUUACUUGUGUUGCCUUGCCGUGAGGAUGAUACUUGCUUUACCUUGUGUGACGUGUUGAAUUUACUUGUUGCUUGCGUGAGCUUGUGGUGCUCUUGGUGGAGUUUUGGCCAUUGUAAUCCAAGUGUGGGUUGUUGUUGUUGCCGUGGGACACUUUGAGGGAGUUAUUGCCGUGAGCCUUGUUUAAGGUUGGCAUUACAACAAGUGAACAAGUGAGGUUCAUUGUUAGGUUGGGUUGCAAACCUUGUAGCCGUGAGGAACUUGGGUGACUUGAGCAACUUCUUGCCGUGAGACUCAUUGGGUGUUGGGGUUUGUUGGCAUUGCCAACUUUAUUGCCGUGAGGUUCACUUGGUAAGUUUGGGGGUGACUUGCGUGAGUAUCCUUGUGUUGCUAAGUUUUGCCGUGAGGUUCCUUUGUGGAUUUAGGUGACUUGAGUUUGGUGGAAGACUUGGUUGCCGUGAGGUUCACUCUUGGUGUUUGAGGGUGUCAUUGCCGUGAACAAGUGAGGUUCACUUGCUGUUUGGGUGACUUGCGUGACUCUUUGCGUGGAGUUGGUGGCGUGAGGAUCCUUGGGACCAAGAGGAGAGGCUGACUUGCUUUGUGGAGGGGCAAGUGCCGCGCGGGAUUUUGAGGUUUUUGGGUUGGAAAAAAAUUGUCCCGUGACAGUUGGUAUCAGAGCUCAAAAGUUGAGCAGUGUUCGGCAAAAAAAUGGCUGAAACAAGCAACAAAAUGCAAGAAGCAAGUGGCAAGGUGCAAGUAGUGCAAGCAGUGCAAGAAAGUUCUUCAUUGGUGGGACAGUCAGUUGGUGCAAAGGGUAAGGUGUUGCCCAAAUUCUUGAGCUCUUCUAGGAUGAGGGAAGAGUUGGAGAGCAUUGACAUGAGGCUGGACAAGUUGACAAAUGAAAAUGAGGUUCAGAAACUUGCUCAUGCCGAGGAGAUGUCCACAAUGAGGGAAGACAACCGUGUAUUGCAAGAAAGGGUAGAACAGUUGCAAGAGGAAGUGAAGCAGAUGAGGGAGGAAAUGGUGUUGCUCAAGAGACUGGUGACCCGAGAGAAUGGGACCA
rnacentral:misc_RNA from 1 species